ncrna:unclassified sequences RAGATH-18 RNA
CCUAUGGAGAGUACAAGAACUUGUGAGUAGUAUCUGAAGAAUUUCAGUACGAAAGCAUACUCGACGAAGUAGGAA